rnacentral:tRNA from 1 species
UCCCUGGUGGCUCAGAUGGUAAAGCAUCUGUCUACAAUGCAGGAGACCCGGAUUCGAUCCCUGGGUCGGGAA